rnacentral:lncRNA from 1 species
AAACAAUUAGUUUGGCUUGGAGUAAUAAGAAAUUGAUUCAAAAUUUGGAAAUGUUUCUAUUUUGAAGUUUUUUAAUGCUUAAGAUUCUUAAUUAAAUUCAAGAUCUUCUCAAACGGUUCGUUUAGGCGCCUGAACUUCAUAUCUCUUCUUCGUCGUCUCGUAUCCACCAUUGUCUUCUUGAAAUUUCGAGGAGAUAUCAAUCGUUUCGUUCUGGUUUUCGUUCUGUUAUGCUCUUCAUCUCUUUCUUUCUCUAGAUCCAAAAUACAUAUAUGCGUUUAAAUAGGGUUUUCAUUGGUGGUGUUCUUGGGUUCUUCAUGAACACUUGAAUUUUCUGAUAUUAGUCGUUGUCUCCGGUUUAAAGAAACAAUGCCACUUCGAAAACAAACAAAUCUCUAGAAAUUCUCGACAUCGGAAGAAGACGAUGAUGUGGGAGAGCAAGCGUUCUUGGCUGUUCGUGCCCUCCAUUUUUUCGUCAGGUGUUGUUAUCCUUUCCCUAACUCACAUAGACAUGCAUUUUCUUAGGGUUUAUAGGGUCUAAAACACAUUAUCUGUUGAUUUUUUUUUCGUUUUAAUGGCUCUUUUAGGGUCUAAUGGGUUUAAUAAUCAACUGAUCUUUGUUAUCUAACUUUUAUACAUCAGUCACCAAUCAUUUUGAAGAUGAAAUUGAAUGCAUUUGACACUUAAGCUGAGAUGUCGGCACUCUUUUUGGAAUUCAGAGCAACUAUAUUCAGUGUUUGGUACGUUCUGCUGUUUUUGUUUAUUUAUUUAUUUUUUGAAUAAUCUCAUUGACAAUGUAAGAUACAAAUUGGGUGAUACUAAACAUAUGUUUUUUGUUGUUGUGUGUUUUUAAUUCUUGUAAGACGAAAAUGAAGAGAAACUUGAUAAGGAAGACAGUGAUGAUGAUGAGUCAAAUGCUGAUGUGGCAAAAUUGGAAUCAAAACCAGAAUAAUAGGCUAAAUGUAUUUUAGUUCUUAAUCCAGGUAUGUUCUUUUAAUCAUCUUUAUAUUAUGUUGUGUCUUCUAAGUUCUUGUUGUAUGUAUUAGUUUACAUUGAUUAUCAUUUUAAACCAAAAGAACUUUAAUAAGAAAAUGGGCUCAAUGCAAUAAAUAGCAAAAUACUUUCGUUUCUUAUUACAUCAUUGCAAAUUCCAAUUUUUUUUAUCUUACUAAGGC